UACGGGGGGGGGCAAGCGUUUGUUCGGAAUUACUGGGCGUAAAGGGCUCGUAGGCGGCCAACUAAGUCGGAUGUGAAAUCCCCAGGCUCAACCUGGGAACUGCAUCCGAUACUGGAUGGCUUGAAUUCGGGAGAGGGAUGCAGAAUUCCAGGUGUAGCGGUGAAAUGCGUAGAUAUCUGGAGGAAUACCGGUGGCGAAGGCGGCAUCCUGGACCGACAUUGACGCUGAUGAGCGAAAGCCAGGGGAGCAAACGGG
rnacentral:rRNA from 1 species